CCUACGGGAGGCAGCAGUGAGGAAUAUUGGUCAAUGGACGAGAGUCUGAACCAGCCAAGUAGCGUGAAGGAUGACUGCCCUAUGGGUUGUAAACUUCUUUUAUAAAGGAAUAAAACGAGGCACGUGUGCCUUUUUGCAUGUACUUUAUGAAUAAGGAUCGGCUAACUCCGUGCCAGCAGCCGCGGUAAUACGGAGGAUCCGAGCGUUAUCCGGAUUUAUUGGGUUUAAAGGGAGCGUAGAUGGGUUGUUAAGUCAGUUGUGAAAGUUUGCGGCUCAACCGUAAAAUUGCAAUUGAUACUGGCAGUCUUGAGUGCAGUUGAGGUAGGCGGAAUUCGUGGGGUAGCGGUGGAAUGCUUAGAUAUCACGAAGAACCCCGAUUGCGAAGGCAGCUUACUAAACUGUGACUGACAUUGAUGCUCGAAAGUGUGGGUAUCAAACGGGAUUAGAUACCCCGGUAGUC
rnacentral:rRNA from 1 species